rnacentral:tRNA from 1 species
GGAAGCAUAACUCAAUUGGUAGAGUGUCUCCCUUUUAAGGAGAACGUUGUCGAUUCGAAUUCGGCUGCUUUCA